GGCAUCCCAUUUUACGGAUAUGCUUGGCGAUUGGUAAACGCAAAUAAUCAUGGGAUCUUCGCUCCGGCAAAUGGAGCUGCUGGUCCGGAUAAUGGAGCCGAGCAGUACCGAGCUAUAAGGACCUUUGUAGCUCAAACCCCGGGGGCAGUUGUGGUGUAUAAUUCCACAUAUGUCUGCAAUUACUGCUACGCUGGAACAACAUGGAUCGGUUAUGAUGAUACUCAAACAGUUUCCACCAAGGUUUCAUAUGCUAAACAAAAUGGACUUCUUGGGUACUUUGCUUGGCAUAUUGGAGCUGAUGACAACUUGGCACUAUCACGACAAGGUUAGUUAAUGGCGUGAUUCCAAGAUAAGUAAUUCCCUGUCUGAUUAGAUUUAUCAUUUAUGGAGAAAAUGACCUCAUACGCCCUGAAAAAUUGAGUCUCUAACUGUACCUAAUAAUUGGCUAUGGACCAUUGUCCAUCGAGCAUAUUUUCCUGUGCCUAGAAUUGAAUGUAUGUUUUUUGGAAUUUUUUCAUUUACAACAUUUAAGAACUACCCUUUUUAGCAGAUGAUAUUUGCAGUCCAUACAUAACAAUUCUCCGGUAUUAUACUUAUUUUCAUGUAAUAAAAUGUUAAAUUGGAGUGUCAAAAACUAUUUUUAGAGCAUAACUGUCACUUACCUUUUUUCUAACUUGUUCAUUUGUACAUACAUCCACAAUAUCUAAAAAAUUCUACAAUUCUCAUCUUUGUAAGUUGUAACUAACGCCUACUUUUUACUUGAAUGCAGCUAGCCAAGCAUGGGCAGAUGGAAGUGGUGCUGGAAGCCAUUUGACGGUGACCCUAGUAAGCCAAAAGGGAGCUGGCAUUGUUGAAUAAUGAUAUCAUUGCUAUGUGCACUCUAUCAAAAGAUGAAUAAAUGUCUUACAGUUUGAAAAUUGAUGUUCAUCAUGUGAAGACUAAUUGCAAACUGACAGGUGGCUAAAUCAAGGAUUAGGCCUGAGCCUUUUUGACUUAGGUAAAGGCGAAGAGAGCAUAAAGAAAUUGAAACAAUGAAAAGAAUAAUGUGUUCCCGUGUCAAGAUCAUCUCUUACAUUGACGGUCAUAGGAUAAUUGAUUUCCAGUAUGAAAAAUUCCAGGCUUUUCAAUUAAUUGAUUGGUCUUUAGAGGAAAUUGACAAUAGAGACACUGAUUAAUGGGAUAUAGAUUGUCAAAAAUUGUUAGUUGUUAACAAAACUUUGCCCGACUGAAGUAAGGGGUUCAUCACAAUUUGCCCAUAAAAGAUCAAAAACAAUAGAUAUCAACGGACAUUAUACUUUUCAACAUCCUAAAAGCAUGUGAAUUUUUGUUUUUUUUUUCUUCCAGUUUUGCCUCAGAAUGAUUCCUAAACAAAGGCUACUUCAGCAGCCGUUAGGCCUAACAUUUGGAAGAUGGUCAAAGCAGCAAAAAGUCUCAAAAUUUAUCAAAACUAUACACAAUUGGACGAGUUAAUAUUGGGUUUUCACUUAAAUGGGUUAUGCCUAACUUGUCCAACUUUAGAUUGGGUUGAUUUUGAGUUGGGUCAUCUUAAACCCAUAACCUAAAUAUGACCCAACAUAUCAAUUAAUACAUUGUGAUACAUAAACUCUCUCUUAUACAUUUACAUACACAAAAAGAUUUUUUUCACAUAUAUAAACACAUUUUCACACACUAAUACACUUUCACACACAGUCACUUCUUAAUUUCCUUGGAAACACAUCAUAAAUAGAAUAAUAUUUUUAUAUUGCGAAUUUUAGAUAAUAAAUUGUACACUUAAAUAUAUUAGUAAAAAAAAUUAUUUACUUUAUACUUUUUAAUACUAUUAAUUGAUUGAAACUUAUUUUUGUCACAAUUUAUUUAACACUUUUAUUAUUCAUAUCUACUUUAUUGUAAGUUGUAAUAUUCUAUGUACACGAAUACCAAUUAGGAUGUUGAGCAAUUCAAUAAAAUUUCAAUACGAAAUGGUAGAUAUUUGCCAAAUUUGGUAAAGGUAAGGGACAGUUGUUGAUUGUGAAUAAACAGAAGCAAGCAACAAUCGGAGAAAAAAAAAACAGGGAGAAAAACAAUGUACUCUUAAAAGGCAUAAUAAAUUAUUAUAGAUGUUGAACAAGUUUAAUUAAUGUUGUAAAAGUAAAAUAAGCAUGAGUUUUUAUUUCAAGUUUCUUUUAAAUAAAUAUUAAAAAAUUGAUUGAAAACAUAUAUAUGAGAAUUUUGAAUACAAAUUGGUCAAUGAAUUGUUAACAUAUAUCCAAAUGCAAGUGGUUGGGCAUAUGUGUAUUGAAUCUUGUAUUUAUUGUUUUGAAUUAUUUUUUAACAAGUUGGGUAUUGCGUGUCCAAAUAAAAAAUCCAAUCCGUCCAAUGAAUAAGUUGGACCGUUCUUAUCCAACCCAACAAAACUCAUAACCCAACUAACCCAACCCAUCCUUUAAAAUUAGUGGGCGCAUUGGACGGGUUGUUGGGUUUUGGACUUUUUCGCCAGCUCUAAUCAAAACACUUGCAUUUUUUUUUAAUUUAGCAUUUUCUAUUUUUGAAGGAAAAGAAAGUUAGCCAAAGCAGUAAAAGGAAUUUUGUUGAUCAUCUAGCAUUGGCACUUCUAUUCUUGAAUGGCCAAGGGCAUCCAUGAGGGAUGGCUGAUAUUAUUUUGACUUCAAUAGCUAUAUUGCCUCUAAAAUUUCUUACACGAUUUUCUGGCCACAUUGAUCUGUUUACAUUUUGUUUUAUUUGUUUGUUCCUUGUAUUUCCUGUAGGAUAUUUAUGUCAUGCAUCACCACAAUAGGGUUGUUAUAUCGUUGCAUUACUUUUUUGUUUUUUAAUUUCAUUGUUGGUGUCGGUAAAGCUAAUAUUUGACUGGUUCUAUAACGGACGGAGAGGCAGAGUGUAUAUUCCUUUUUAGUUCAGGCGGCCAAAGUGCAAUUACUCCCUAGUUCAAAGGGCAAAGUGUCAUUAAUCUUUUUCAAAAAUUUCCAACAUUUUAAUUUUGAAUUCACCUGCAAAAAGAGAGUGAAAAUUGAGACAUAUUUAAACAAUAGACACAAAUAUGUGAAUUUCUAAGAUCAACGAGAUGGAUUAUCAUUAAGUUUGUAUCUUUCAUAUAAGUCAUAUAUGCCGUUUAAAGUAAGGUUGUCUUCUAAUUUUUACCCAAUUUAUCUAUCAUAGAGUAUAGUGUAUUGAUAAUGACAUCUAGUAGAAACUAAAUAGUUUCAAGAACUUAAAAUUACAUAAUAAGAGAAGGUGCGUUGAUUUGGAAAUAUAUAUAUAUAUAUAUUGCCCGACCAAUAUAUGUAUGAUACUCUCCUAAACAUGGUAUUGUGGGAACAGCAUAAACAUAAGAAAAAUUGCUCUCCAUAAAUGAUAAAUGUGCUGGAGGUAAGCUUCCCUCGCUGCCAAGAUCAUUCGACUCCGUAAUUGGUCGGGCAACUUAACUGUCUUUAAUAUUUUGUGGACCAAACUGGCAGGUCCCAAGAUUGAAAAUAACAUCUGUCAUUUAAUUGAAAGUGGCUGCAAUAUUACUAAACAAAUUUCAGUGUGUAGCUACUGAGUACUGAAAGUUGUCACUAGUUUGAAUAGGCCAAUAUCUGGUACUCUUGAAGAUUGAGACAUGUAGUGGCAUGUUGUUGGCAGCUGUAGAGAUUUAAUAGUUUCAAGGAAAUGUAUAGUUCCACAAUUUUUUGCAAAUACCGCUAUGCUGGAAUAACAUGGAUUGUUGAUGAAAGUUUCAAAUGCUAACCAAAAGGGACUUUACAAAUUGGGCACUUUACCAACAAAAUUAGUUUGUAGUGUGACACGAUUUUCAAUUUCCUUUAAAAUUAAAUUUUGGCAUUAUAUAAUCACAGAUGCCCUCAAGACUUGAUCCUCAAAUCCUAUCUGACAAUUGUCUAUGAAAUGUUGUCCCUUGGAUCAAAUUUUUCCUUUGGUAGAAUUAAUUGUACUAUACUUAUUGAGAAAUUCGUGCACUCUGUCAAUUUUUUUUCAUGUCUUUAGCUCGUAAAAUAGAGUACCUUUUUCUUGACUUGUUCGUUUGUAUAGACACCCACGGUAUCUCUUAGUUUCUCAUAUCUUUCUGAUUCACAGUGGUUAAUAAGACUAAACCUAAUGCUGGUAGAAGUUUCUCCACUACUCAUAUAUAUAUAUUUUUUGUCACAACGAUAGGAUUCCUAUAACCUAAUCUAAAGGGAGGGGGAGGGGGAGGGAACUCGAUGUAAGUAGAAACUCCAUCGAAGAUAGCCACCGAAUACCGUCAGAUAUUGUGACAAAUUUUUGUCUCCACUACACAUAUGAGAGCUUACAAUUUUGAGUGAUGAUUUGUGUAUUCCACAAUAGAUAUAUUAGCAAGUUUUCUGGUGCCCAUCACAAUCAAAAGACAAAUAAAUGUCUUAGUACGCAAGUUCCACGAAAGUGACAGCUUGAAAGUUGAUUUUGAAGACAAAUUGCUAACUGACAGGUGACUAAGUACUCAAGCCUAACUCCAGGAUUAGGCCCUAAGGCUAUCUCACUUAGAAGCUCUGUUUUUAAGCUCGGACCGGACCGGCCGGUCCGACCGGUCGAACCACGAACCGGCCAAGUGUCCGGUCCGAACUAACUCUAAAAAUCGGAAGUUUUAAAACUCGGUCAAACCAUGUCAAAAAUCGGGUUUGACCGGAUUUGACCGGCAAAUAAGAACCGGGAAUUUCCACCAUGCAUCUCACUCAAGGAAAGGAAAGAGAGGGACCCACUCCUCUUGGCUCCAUAUGCUCAGCCAAUAUCCGAAAAUAACACACGAUUUUUGUAGUGGCACAUGCAUGCACAGUUGAUUACUGCUACAGUGCUUCUACAUCCCUAGCCACAACUCGCUCGCACGUCUUCAUGCAACAUCCACAUCUUCUUGCUCCCCCCUCUCUAUGCAUGUAUAUAGACUCUUUUUUUUUUUGAAGAUCAAAAUAUUUUUAAUAUUAUGUUUUGACCUCUAGGUUAUUAAAAAUUAUUAAUAUAUCUCAAAUAUUGUAUACUUUAUAAAUAUUAUCUUAAAAUUUGGUGUUAUUUUUUAAUUAAGUCCAUAAUUUUAAUUUUAAACUAGUUAAUACUCAUUAAAUAAUAUAAAUUGCUACUUAAUUGUUCUAAUUUCUUUGUAUUUUCUUGUUAAAUAUAUUUGAAACAUCAAAUACAUAUAAAUAUACAUUUAUUAGUAUUAACAUGUUAUUAGGUAUUUUACAUAUAAUAUUUUAAUUUUUAAAUAAUUUUUAUUUAUGACAUCAUCCGGUUCAACCCCAAUCGAACCCGGCUGAACCCAUUGACCCCUGACCCCUGAGCUCGACCGAAUCGAUACCCGGUCCGGUUCUGAAAACAUAGCUUAGAAGCGGAUCACAAUUUUCUCUUAGAUUGUCCACUAAUUAUGCCUCUAAAUUAGGCAAGGCCCAAGAGAGCACAGACCAAUGGAAAACUUUAAAAAAAAAAUUAAUUUCCUUGUCAAAAUCAUUUUCAGUUGACCGUAUAUGCUGGUAAAAAUAGUGCCAAAGCUUCACCGAGUAGUUAAUUUCCAGUAUGAAAAUUCCAGUGUCGUAGCUUCACUGAAUAGUUAAUUUCCAGUAUGAAAAAGUUCAGGACUUUUCAUUUAAUUGAUUGAUCUAAACAAAUUAAAUAACACCACAUCUUAGUUUGAUCCCUACUUUAUUUGCAUUGUGAAUUGAAUAAAUACCGAAUAAGGGUUCCUUUUCCUUCAAAAUUUCAAUGGCUUCCAUAACUAAGUUCAUCUUACUAUCUUUAACUCUGUGUGUUCUCCAUCUUAACUUCUGUCAUGGACAGAAUGCUGUCAAAGCAGGCUACUGGUUUCCAGAUAGUGGAAUUGCACUCUCAGACAUUGACUCCACUCUUUUCACUCAUCUAUUUUGCGCAUUUGCUGAUCUUGAUUCCCAAUCCAAUAAAGUCACCAUAUCCUCCUCAAACGCUGGCCCCUUUUCACAAUUCACCAAAACAGUUCAACUCAAAAACCCUUCAGUUAAAACCCUUCUAUCUAUUGGUGGUGGAAGUUCUAAUAGGACUGCUUUUGCUUCAAUGGCUAGUCAACCAACUUCUCGCAAAUCAUUCAUUAAUUCUUCAAUAAACUUGGCCCGAGCCAACAGUUUCCACGGUCUAGACUUGGACUGGGAAUACCCACAAUCCGCUCCUGAGAUGACAAACUUAGGCUCACUCCUGGAUGAAUGGCGAGCCGCAGUGGCAACUGAGGCCCAGAACUCAGGCAAGCCACAGCUGAUUUUAACAGCUGCAGUUUCAUUUGCAUCAAAGGUGGAUGGAUUAUAUCAAUAUCCUAUUACAUCAGUAUCCAGAAGCCUGGAUUGGAUAAAUCUUAUGGCUUAUGAUUUUUACGCUCCAGAUCGUCCAAGUACUUCUACCAGGUGUCACGCUGCAUUAAAGGACCCUUCUGGCCAAGCUAGUGGAAGUUCUGGCAUUGCAGACUGGGAAAAGGCUGGAGUCGGGGCGAAGAAGUUGGUUCUGGGCAUCCCAUUUUACGGAUAUGCUUGGCGAUUGGUAAACGCGAAUAAUCAUGGGAUCCUGGCUCCGGCAAAUGGAGCUGCUGGUCCGGAUAAUGGAGUCAAGCGGUACCAAGAUAUAAGGACCUUUGUAGCUCAAACCCCGGGGGCAGUUGUGGUGUAUAAUUCCACAUAUGUCUGCAAUUACUGCUAUGCUGGAACAACAUGGAUCGGUUAUGAUGAUAAUCAGACAGUUUCCACCAAGGUUUC
rnacentral:lncRNA from 1 species